ACAGGAGUUAACUCUGGAGAAAGGAACUGGGAGACUUGAGGGUGAGAGAUUCAACUUUUACCAUUUAUUCUCUUGUGCCUUUAACUUUUUUUUCCCCACAUGCACAUAUUACCUAUUUAAAAAUAAAAUAUUUAAAAUAAUUAAAAAAAAAGAAAUUCUUACAGAAAACACUGCAGUUAAAUUAGUGUUAUUUGUUAAUAGGAAAGGUUUUCUUUUUUUUUUCCUGUUCAGAAAAAGGGCUAUCAGGGCAUGCUAUUUGUUGUUGCUACUGAGUGUGUCUGUGUGUGUGUAUGUGUGCAUGUGUGUGUUCAUGCCAGGGUAUGUGUAUUUAAAAUAUUCUCUUACGCACAGAAUUAGAUUUGAUUGGCUCAGGGCCUUAGUCUCCCAAUAUACCAAGGAAAGUGUAGCUUUUAUAAAUUUUCAGUUAGAGAAAUAAAUAAUAUUUUGUGGGAAAAAUGAAAAUACAUUCCCAAAAUAUCUUGUAUUAAAAGACAGCCAGUACAUAGAGUUUUAAAAUCCUGGCCUGGGACCCUUCUUCCACAAAGGAUGUAACUUAAUGAUCCUGUGGUUAUUUAAAACAACAAUUUUUUUUUCAAGGGGCAUAAAAAUACAAUUGUCUACUUUUAAUAUAAAUUGAGUUUACUUUCCUCUUAAAAGGAAAUCAAUUACAAAGCAAUAACCUUGAAAUUAAAUACUUUAUUUCAACUAAUACUUAAUUAUCUUUUAUGAGAAAGUAUUCCCUAAAAUAUAGCCAAAGAUCAAAUUGUUAAUUUCAUAAUUAUCAGUUUUAUUACUAGUGAUCUGGUUUAUCACAGUCUUAAGCAAACAAAUUCUAAGAAGCUACUUUAAGUACUAAUUUGUGUUCAGUUAAGAACUUAUUUUUCUAACACUAUAACGUGAUAAAUUACAUAAAACUCAUAUGUUAAGAAUUAAUUACUGCAACGUCACUAUUUAGUAUUAUCUUAAACCAUAUGAAACUGCUUUUAUGAGAUCAGCUUUGCCUACCAAAAUGUUACUUUUAAUAUGAUUCAACCCAAUACUGAGUGAAGUGUCAUCACUUCCCUUUUACUGUCUAUUGGAAAAUUACAGCUAUGUUCUAAGAAAUAUGGGUCAUUGUUUCUUUAUAUAUUUUGGUCCAUUUAUUUAGCCACAUGUCUCAAGCAUCUACUUUAUAGUUAAACAAAAAUUGGUGUCCUCUUUUAGUAAGUUUAUUCUUCCUGUAAAUGGUUUUCCAAGCUAUCAAGCAAUAUGAUCUCCUAUCCUAUGAUUUUCAGAAAAGCUGUUGUUUCAUUGUUGAAAUAUUAUAGCUGUUUAGCAACUUUCCUCCCCACAUUGUCAGUACAAAAUCACUAUUAUCAAUUUCAAAAUAUGGUUAACAAAAUAGUGCUACUGUCUUAGUCUGCUCGAGCUGCCAUGGACAAAAUAUUGUAUAUUGGGUAGCUGAAACAACAAAAAUUUUCUCACAGUUCCAGAGGCUGGGAUGUUGAAGAUCAAGGCACUGGCAGAAUCAGUUCCUGGUGAGGGCUCUUUUCCUGUCUUGUAGACAGCCACCUUCUUGCUGUGUCCUCAUGUUAGAAAGAAAAAGAGGGAGAGCACAUCCUACAGCGUCUCUUCUUACAAGGGCAUUCAUCCCUUUAUGGGAGCCCCAUCCUUAUGAUCUCAUCUAACACAAAUUAUCUCCCAAGGCCCUGUCUCCAAAUACCAUCACACUGGGGGUUAGGAUUUCAACAUCAGAAUUUUGGGGAGACAUAACACCCUCAACACUCACAAGAAUAAUUAGCCAUCUCUUUUAUACCACUAAACAUUCCUUUCUAAAUACUUCCAAGAGGGAAGAAUCUUUUUAAAAAAGUAUUUAAUUUAUUUGCAAAAUAUCUAAAUUACCAUUUGCUUACUCCAACCUAUCUUUCCUGGGAUCAGUUACGUUUCUGCCUGUUCACUGCACCCUUAGCUCCAGGCUCUAAAGAGUAUUUCCUUGUCUUUGAGUAGUUCAAGGAUUAGACCUUCAGGCUUUCCAUCAGGAUGGGUGGCAUGUUCUUCCACAUUCCUUUGCCUACUUGCCUUCUAUGCCAGCUGCUUUGUUGCUCAUCCUUUAAGGUCCAACUCAAAGGGUAGCUUUUCUACGAAGCUCUUUCCACCUCUCUGAGCAAAACUAGCCCUCCCUGCCACUCAUUCCACAUGCUGCCUCACUCUCCCCUCUAUCCUUAGGUUCUCUGGUUAUUGUUGCCAUGUCUUCAACAUGUAAAGGAUUGUGUCCAGCACAGUGUCUUACACAUGGUAGGAGCUCAAUGAAUGCAGGUAGCAUGAAUGGUUACUAUAAUUGUUAUAGUUACAAGGGCCGUGGGUUCAGUCACAUGGGUUCAAGGGCUUACUAUGCAGGAGGUAAAAAGUUCCUUAAAUGCAUUGCAGCUCUUGGGGAAUAGGAGAUGAGAGCAUUUGGAAGUCUCAGAAGACCCCAUCCUAAAGAUUUGAAGUUUCAUGUAAGUCCAAGGAUUUCAGGGAGGAAAUCCCUGAAAUUUCAUUCUUCAGUGCAAGGCCAGCCUGUGAGCUGUUGCUAAUUCUAGAUUCAGGCAGACAUAUGAGAGAUCUCUGCUCCAGGUGGGGGUCCUGAUGCUCACAGGUACCAAUCUUAGCUGUUCGUUGGCUUUUGCAAUUUCCUUACCACCCCAACCCCUACAUCUCCAGUUGUCUUUUUCUUCUGUUGGGCCAACAUCCUUUGGAAUUAUAUCAGUCUUAUCAUAAUUUAAUGAGCUUUCCUGGGAGGUUUUUUUCCCCACUGUGGACACAUAGCUAUGAUUUUAUGAAAGCCAAUGAGAUAAUUGAGUGAUUUUUUUCAAAUCCAGGCUUGCUGGGUUACAUGUAUGUAUUAUAUUAUGGUUAGAAAAAGAAAUAUUGGUGUUUAAAGGGAAAGAAAAAUCCUAUACUUAACACUGAAAUAAAAUAUAGAAAUAAAAGAAUCAAGUCUGUCACAGGUAAGGAAAGGUGCAUCUGAUCAGAGGCAGAUGGAAAAUGAGCAUUUACUAAAAUGCAAUGCUGAUGAUAAUUCAGGCCCGCUUAACAAUGUGAACUUGAGAAGCUUCAAAGGAUACAUUUUAGGGAUAAAAAGAUUGCGAAGUCCCUCCCCUUGCUUAGAGGGAAAAUCUCAUGAUUCCUUAAUGUUCAGCUUCCAGGAUUUGCACGCUACAUUGAAAUGAUAGCUUUUAAUGCAUUAAUGUUUAUAUAACUACUAUUUUUGCAGACAUUUAAAUUAUAGAGAACAGCAAUUGUUGAGGGGAAAAAACAAAUAUAAAUAAAUAGAAGCUAGAAUUUUUCCCCUUCAGAGGUAAGUGUUUGCUAUUCCUAGCAGAGAAUACUCGUACUAUUUGUGUGAGAUUGUUCCUCAGGCCAGCAAAAACUAGUUUCUCCCAAAAUAAAAAUGCCACAAGGAGAAGAACAUACAAUAGGCUAAUAAAACAAUUUUUGAUUCUUGACAAGUAAUAUAAUGAACAAUAUUAUUUUUUAUAGGUAUGUUGACUCACAUUAGCUAUUUCUGUCAUUUUCAUAGGAAAAAGCCAGGAAGAAUGCAUAAUUAGAGUACAUUUCACAUUAUACAUCCUUAGCUUGGGCACAAUGUUUAUCUCAUGUUACUUAAUAGCUUGGGAUUUUAUGUCACUAAAUACAUGUUUGGAGAUAUGGUAUCCUAUUUGUGAAUUCCCAGGUUGAGGAAACCUAAAUGCUGCAUGAGUCCUUCAGGCAGGGACAAGGGUCUCGGGGUGAGGUGUAGAAGUGAGCCUUGGCAGGUGAGCACACAUCUCUUUGCCCAGACAAUCCCCAGUUUGGGCUAGUUGUCUUUGGGGAUAACUGUACACCUCUCCACUCUCACUCUCAAAAGUAUCCUCAUUUAUUGGAUGAUACAUUGUAUGGUUAUCUUUGACUUGGGAUACACAUGAUGGAUGGAGGGGAAGCAUCAAGCUUAAGCCUCUUGUAACACUGUAAGACCACUCAGGCCUCCUUCAGGAAAGGUAGUGGUAAUAGUCUUUGACAUGGGCAGUUGAUGCUUUCUGGGUCUGUUUUAGUCUGUUUUCACACUGCUAAUAAAGACAUACCCAAGAGUGGGUAAUUAUAAAGAACAAGAAAUUUAAUGGACUCAUAGUUCCAUAUGGCUGGGGAGGUCUCACAAUCAUGGCGGAAGGCAUCUCUUCACAGGGUGACAGGAGAGAAAAUGAGAGCCAAGCAAAAGGGGAGACCCCUUAUACAAAAACAUCAGAUCUCGUGAGACUUACUACCAUGAGAAUAGUAUGGGGGAAACCACCCCAUGAUUCAAUUAUCUCCCACCACAUCCCUCCAACAACACAUGGGAGUCAUGAUAGCUACAAUUCAAGAUGAGAUUUGGGUGGGGACGCAGCCAAACCAUGGCAGGGUCUUAUAUAAAAUGUGAGGACUAGCCCCCUUUAAAAGACUUAGCUAUUUUUAUUGAUCUGUAAUUUCAUUUAUUAGCAGAAACAUUGUGUUUGCUGUGUAAAUUCAUCAUCAACAAAAUCCCCUAGCCCCUGCUCACUGCCUGCCUCCACCAGCCAUUGGCUUCUGUCCCCAAAUCCCACUUAAAUAUUGACACCGACACUCUGCAGUCCUCACUGCCAAGAGCUAUCCUGAAAAGGGCAUUGCUGAGGGUGGAAAGUAUAAAAAUCGGUGAAAGGGUGGAGGUUUUAGGAAGAUAAGAGGGAACCUGGACCAGGGAUCAUUCCAGCUAGAGGGAAGGAAGAGAUGAAGCAGUUCAAGAGAUGUCAACAAUAAAUAUUUUGAGAAUGAGGAGAUAUCUGUAUACCUGUGUUACAGCAGCAUUAUCCAUAAGAGCCAAAAGAUGGAAGGAACCCUAGCAUUGGCUGACAGAGGAAUGGAUAAGUAAAAUGUGGUCUAUCCAUACAAUGGAGUAUUAUUCAGCCAUAGAAAGGAAUGAAGUGCUGGCACAUGUUACCACAUGGCUGAGCCUUGAGGACACGUUGCCCAAGUGGAAAGAAGAAGCCAGAUGCACAAGGACAAAUACUGAAUGCACCACUUUUAUGAGGCACCUAGAUUAGUCAGAUUUAUAAGACAGAAAAUAGAACCGUGGAUGCCCAGGGGCUGAGGGGAAGGAAAGUGGGGAGUUAGUGUUUCAUGGGGACAAAGUUUCUGUUUGGGAAGAUGAUAAAGUUCUGGAGAUGGAUGGUAGUGAUGGUUGUACAGCAGUUAGUAGACUUAAUGCCACUGAACUGUAGGCUUUAAAAUAGCCAAGAUGGUGAGUUUUAUGUUAUAUAUAUUUUACUACAAUUAAAAUACUCUGAGUAAAGGGCGGGAUGAGCACAGGGAUAGGAUCAUGAUUCAGUGUUUCUUGUUUGGUGUAUUAGUUUUCUAGCUCUGGUUCUGUAAUAAAUUACUAUGCAUUUGGUGGCUUCUAACAACAGAAGUUAGUUUUCUUACAGUUCUGGAGAUCACCAAAAUCCAGGUGCCAGUUGUUUCCUUCUGGAGGUGCUGAAGAAUCUAUUCCUUGCCUCAUCCUGGCUUUGGGUGGCUGUUGGCAAUCAUUGCCAUACUUUGGCUUGAAGCUGCAUCACCCUGUUCUCUGCCUCCCAUGUCACAUAUCCCUGAAUCUCUGCAUGUCAAAUCUCUCUCUGUCAUCUUCUUAUAAGGACACCUAGCAUUGGAUUUAGGGCCCACCCUAAAUCCAGGAUGACGUUAUCUUGAUAUCGUUAACUUAAUUACAUGUGCACAGUUUCUUCUUCCAAAUAAGGUCACAUUCACAGGCUCUGAGGCCACAUAUCUUCUAGAGGUGGCCACAAUUCAACCCACCACCUUUGGGAAGAACUGGCUUUACUCGGAAUUAUAAAGCAAAGCAAACUUCUUACUGGUGAACUGCACCCACACCUUCCAGUAGGUUCAUAAAAUCCUCUUCCAGUCUCCCUACCUGACCGCCUUCCCCUUUGGGCCUGCUUCACCAGUUCUGGAAGACGCCUGAGCUUAGAAGCUGCACAGGUGAAUUUUAAAUUCAUGUGUUGUGUGUCAUUUCCGUGUCUGGUGAGAGACCAAGGAGACUGGUAUCACAGGAGUGAGGGAAGAUUCCAUUUGUUACCCCUCCAGCCACAGACUGCGAUUUAACGAGUCUCCUUAGGCAAUACAGUGACUCCAGGGGUCAUUAUAAUAGUGGAAAUAGUAUAUAAAACGCACACUAGAGCCUUGGAGCUGUCCUUAAAGGCAUGCUGUAUCAACACCCACCCUCUUGCCAAGCUCGAUUGUCUGCCUGUUACUCCCGUCUAUGCCUUUUCCUUGGCCAAACAAACUUCUUCCAGAUCCCUUUGAUCAUUUUCUCUUUCCUUGCCAGAAAUAAACUUUGUUAUCCACUGCGUCUGGAACAUCCUCCUACUUUCCAAACCAUACUGUUUUUCAUUUCUGCAUUGAUUUCAGUCUCCCUCCUUCGGGUGGGGUUAAGGGUGUCAUGACAUCGUUGCCCAUAUGCUUCGUUAAGAUGGUGGUUUUUAAAAACAAAUGUGUCAUUUUGAAAAAGCCAGAGAACCAUAUAGUCAUCCACUUUAUUGUAACCUGUGCAUUGGACCAGGCUGCAGAAAAGACCUCUCCGGAGAGAUUCCUGGAACUCCUUGAUCAGAAUGGUUUUGGUUAAGCCAACCCAUCUGGGUAGGAAUGAUUUGCAGAGGUAAUACUGGAGGGACCUGGGCAAGAUGCAUCCCUAGCGAAUGAAGCGAGCAAAAUGCCACAGGGUUCCUUGCCCCAGAAUACAGAAAAGUAUGGGCUACAUUAACAUAAUUUUUUUCUUAGCUUCAAGACUCUCAUAUUGCAUUUGAAUUAUAAAAAAACUGCUCAGUUCACUGGAUGGUUUGAUUAAGUAAGCAUUCUCUACUUACAUGGUGAAAAUAAAUAUCAGGAGAAUAAUCACACAUGCCAAGUGUGUCCAGUGAAGCAAUACGUGUAGGCAGCUUUGGAAACAGUGACACAGUGAUUAUCUGUGCAUAACUUGGUCAUAAUAUCAUCACUGUCUAGACUACUAGACAAUUAGCAUCCAGACAUACUAUAGCUCAGAUUGAGGAAGGUUAUUUAGAAAAUGAAAGAGUAGUCUUAUUUGAGAAAGAAAGACUGUUCAUUUUUCUCUAGAAAGGUAUAUAUUGGAAUUUGACUCUGGAUUGAGAUUAUGCUUUCAUGUUCCCCUUCCUUUUAUGAGUCUCCGGUUGGUUGGUCCAUGUUCCCAUUGGUGGAGGUGAUAAGCUAUUACUUCUAAUCAUCUGGUUUAAUAAUUGUAAAUAUAUUUGGUGCAAGGCAUAUUUUGUUUGCUGGGAUAAUUCUCCCCAGUUUCUACCUCUUUAUCCUUCUCCCUCUACAUUGCUUUAAAGGACAGACUUUUGCUUUUAAAGAAAUACCAGUGUUGUGGAAGUGCCUAUGUAGAGGCUACCCUCUGCAGCAUCCUUAGAGAAGACUACCAAAUCUAAACAGGGGGUAUGUGUGCGAAAAGAAUAGCAUGCAUCUUCCAAGUCAUUUUAUCAUGUUUUUAAUCUUCUGGAAACUUGGUAUGACAUAAAUUCAUAGAGUGGCAGAGGCUGCUAUGUGUUCACAAAGUCUCUUUCUUUCUCCUUCUCCUACAAUAGCUAGACCACAUUUCCCAGUCUCUCUUGCAACAGGGUGGGUCAGGUGACUGAGUACUGGCCAAUGAAACAUGGGCAGAAGUAAUUCAUGCCACUUCUAGAUCUGACCUGAAAAAUCUCCAACUGAGCUCUUCAUGCCUGCUUUAUUCUCUUGUCCCCUAACUAAUACAAAUGAGCACCAGAAAGCUUUGGGAGAUAAUAGGUUUAGAAAAAGCUGGAAUGCCAUGACACCACUGUAAAGAGAAUACCCCCACCUAGAAAUCCUGUGUUUAUGGUAUGAGAGAGAAAUACAUUUUCAUUUUAUUAAGUCACUGAAUGUUUUAGGUUGUUAAUUACAGCAGAUAACUAACCUAUAACUGAACAAUAUAUACAGCUAACACUAUGCUUAUUUAUUUAGUGUACUGAAACAGGGAAACUUUGAGAUGUACCUAGGGUAACUGAAGUCUGCUUUCCAUCUGAGUCUGAGAAACCACAUGCAGUGUAAUUUACUGUGAGUCACUCUUUGCAUGAACAUGUCCCAUGUAAUCAACGUGUUCCCUGUGGAGCAUCUAUUGGUUUUCAGUGCCCAAACUUCAUAGAGCAUACAUAGCUUUCAAAACAACACGUUUGGCCUAUGUAGGAAACAUUUAUGCUUACAUUCCCAAAUGUGUAUACAUCAUCUAGUCUAGCUACAAGAAUAAAGAUUGGACAAAUCUAAAUUGACAGGCAUUUUACAAAAUAUCUGACCAGUACUCAGUCUAGGAAACUUAGUACAGGGUCUAGGAAACUGUCAUGGCAUCACGGCCAAGAGGAGCUUAAGGAGAUGUGAUGACUGAAUGUGAAGUGGUGUCCUGAGGGGAUGCCAGAAAAAGGACAAGAGGUAACUCCAGGGAAAUGUGAAGUAUGGACUUCCACUUACGAUAGUGUAUUAAUAUUGGUUCAUUAGCUGUAACACAUGUACAUAGCAAUGUAAGAUGUUAACACUAGGGAAACUGAAUAUGGAACCUAUAGGAACUCUUUAUACCGUCUUUUCAACUUCCCUGUAAAUCUAAAGCUGUUCGAAGAUUAAACAAUAACAUUUGAAAAAGUAAAUACACCAUUUCUCACAAAACGUCGUGGUGGAAAGAUCUCUCAUUACUUUCCAAAUACCAUCAGGUGACCAUCCGUGGUCAGGUGAAAGAGGGGAGUGCAUUCAUUGGGCAUUCCCAGCUCUGAGAGACGCCAUGACCUGCACACCCACAGCAGCUGUUGCUAACAACCAUGCUCAUUUCUACAGUGAUCAUGAAGCAAAUUUGUAAGCAUCUCUCAUGUUAGCCUAACAUUGAUGCAUGAAAGUCAGCAGGAGGUGGAGGGGCCUGAUGUUGAGUGUGAGGAGACCCAAGAUAGCCUGGCACCAUCAUGACCCUCUGAAAUCCAUUUAAUCAUAACUGCCCUCCAUUGUGCUUUUGCUUUUCAUCUGUUCUGUUCCACCUCAGCAUCUGAAUUAUAAAUUCCUGAAAGGACUGGCUGUGUUUUCUUCGUCUUGCCCUCAGGAUCUCUGCAGUUGACAUGAACACACCUGCACAUGCCCACACCUGCGCCCAGGGCCUCACAUGCAGGAGGACUUCGUAAACUCUGGUACACAGGAAGAAAAUUAUUGCAGGGUCGUUGGACCCAGAAAAGCAUCACGGGCGGAGGAUGUUGAAGCUUCUGACCAGGACAGAGUUCUUCAGUUGAUAGCUGUCCAGAAGUUUCGGCAAGACGUUUGAAGGAACCACAACCCAGUCUAACCAAAGGGGUGGUUGGUGGAAGGUGAAGGAGUCACACACAAGUGGAAACUCCAGCAGAGAUCCAAGAAAGCAGGAGUGAUGCAUUUUCCCCCAUUACGUUUUUUUUUUUUUGGUUUUUGUAUUAAAUAUCCACCCUCCCUCAAACUGUUGAAAGAGUUAAUGUUUUACUUUUGUCCCUACAAUGAAAACAUCACACCAGAGAUAGAAAAGCCAGCUUUCAAAGCACAUGCUGAAAUAACAAAGUUGCUUUUAAAAUGAGUACUUAAGAAAAUGGCCAUUUGCACUGGCGUGGCACCAACGUGGUUACAGCAGUAUUUAUUUUUCUAUGGAAUGUGUGAGCAUGUUGUGGGUUGUAAGUGGAACCCUGGCCAAUCCCAGCCAGGCAUAAAGGAAUCAUUUAGGUUCCCUUCAAAAUCAUUAGAACUAUUAGUCCUGACUUGAAAUGAGUGAAAUGCACAAACUCCUGCCAAAGAGAGAACCAGUGAGUUCUGCUACUUUUGAAAGUCAUCAAAGCCAACUUCUCCAGGAUGAAAUAUUUCAGAGCAGAGUGCCUUCCUGUGCGACUGUGCAAUGUAUAUGCCAGGCUGGGACCUUGGCUGUCUCAUAGUUCUCUACCUUGUUGCACAGAGAAACUGUCAUUAGCCACCAUCCUAGUGUCCAGCAAGUAUGCUUCAUGAGGCAUCAUAAAUACCUGUGUUACCUGGGGGUGAAAGACAUACACACAGGAGGUCAUCCUUCCUGAAUAAGUGAGCCCUCGAUUCCAAAGAGCUCUUCCUGUAUGGGAGGGCAUGACCUCAGCUCUCCACUGUACUGAAGUUGUCCCCCUUUCACAGUAUGGUGAGGACUAUUUAUUUUACUGAUGGUUAAAUAGAGGCUUUCUUGACACCUACAAUACUAAAAUCCUUUCAAAACAUGCUGAUAUGCAUGUGGUUUGGAAGAGAACAUUUGGAUAGAUGAAAUAAGUUUUUUCUUUACAAUGAGUGUACACACCCACGUCAUUCCAAUGAUUACAUAUACUUUAAAUUUGGACAAGCCAGUUAACCCUGUAAGAUCUAAGUGAUCUUAUCUUUUAAAUGGAGGGAUUGGCC
rnacentral:lncRNA from 1 species